rnacentral:rRNA from 1 species
AGCGAACGCUGGCGGCAGGCCUAACACAUGCAAGUCGAACGAAGUCUUCGGACUUAGUGGCGGACGGGUGAGUAACACGUGGGAACGUACCUUUUGGUUCGGAACAACUCAGGGAAACUUGAGCUAAUACCGGAUGAGCCCUUAGGGGGAAAGAUUUAUCGCCGAAAGAGCAGCCCGCGUUAGAUUAGCUAGUUGGUGAGGUAAAGGCUCACCAAGGCUACGAUCUAUAGCCGGUCUGAGAGGAUGAUCAGCCACACUGGGACUGAGACACGGCCCAGACUCCUACGGGAGGCAGCAGUGGGGAAUCUUGCGCAAUGGGCGAAAGCCUGACGCAGCCAUGCCGCGUGAAUGAUGAAGGUCUUAGGAUUGUAAAAUUCUUUUACCAGGGACGAUAAUGACGGUACCUGGAGAAAAAGCCCCGGCUAACUUCGUGCCAGCAGCCGCCGUAAUAC